rnacentral:rRNA from 1 species
GAUGAACGCUGGCGGCGUGCCUAAUGCAUGCAAGUCGAGCGAACGGACGAGAAGCUUGCUUCUCUGAUGUUAGCGGCGGACGGGUGAGUAACACGUGGAUAACCUACCUAUAAGACUGGGAUAACUUCGGGAAACCGUAGCUAAUACCGGAUAAUAUUUUGAACCGCAUGGUUCAAAAGUGAAAGACGGUCUUGCUGUCACUUAUAGAUGGAUCCGCGCUGCAUUAGCUAGUUGGUAAGGUAACGGCUUACCAAGGCAACGAUGCAUAGCCGACCUGAGAGGGUGAUCGGCCACACGGGAACUGAGACACGGUCCAGACUCCGACGGGAGGCAGCAGUAGGGAAUCUUCCGCAAUGGGCGAAAGCCUGACGGAGCAACGCCGCGUGAGUGAUGAAGGUCUUCGGAUCGUAAAACUCUGUUAUUAGGGAAGAACAUAUGUGUAAGUAACUGUGCACAUCUUGACGGUACCUAAUCAGAAAGCCACGGCUAACUACGUG